GAGAACUUGAAAAUUUCUGGACACAGAAUAGGUACACUUCCAGUGAGUUACCUGCUCUUCUGCAUACACUGUCUGCUGGCCCAAUUUAUCAACAGUUUCAUACAGAAGAAUAAAAGGAAAACUGUUUGUUGAAAAAUGCAAUUGGAGGACCAAUCAGCCUUCCAGAGUCCCUUGGAGAUGGAUUGCAAUCACAAA